UACGUAGGGUGCAAGCGUUGUCCGGAAUUAUUGGGCGUAAAGGGCUCGUAGGCGGUCCAUCACGUCGGGAGUGAAAAGCUGGGGCUUAACCCCAGUCCUGCUUCCGAUACGGGUGGACUAGAGGUAGGCAGGGGAGAACGGAAUUCCUGGUGUAGCGGUGAAAUGCGCAGAUAUCAGGAAGAACACCCGUGGCGAAGGCGGCUCUCUGGGACGGUACUGACGCUGAGACGCGAAAGCGUGGGGAGCGAACAGG
rnacentral:rRNA from 1 species